UACGGGGGGGGCAAGCGUUGUUCGGAAUUACUGGGCGUAAAGGGCUCGUAGGUGGCCAACUAAGUCAGACGUGAAAUCCCUCAGCUUAACUGGGGAACUGCGUCUGAUACUGGAUGGCUUGAGUUUGGGAGAGGGAUGCGGAAUUCCAGGUGUAGCGGUGAAAUGCGUAGAUAUCUGGAGGAAUACCGAUGGCGAAGGCAGCCCCCUGGGAUAACACUGACGCUCAUGCACGAAAGCGUGGGGAGCAAACAGG
rnacentral:rRNA from 1 species